GGUAAGGACUGAGAACACAGGAAACAGGAAAAGGAAAAUGCCAGUUGGCUCCCUGACCCAGGAUAGAGGAAGAUUAAGUACUUUCAAGCUGAGGAAAGGAUCAAUUCUGAUUGGGAGAAUUGUUUUUUUUCAUUGAAAAGCGGAACUGACAUAUCUUAACAUGUAAGAAUUACUUCAAUUGUUUUUAAAUAGCUGUCCUUUUAACACUAGAAUCUGAUUAGAAAAUAAUCUUUCUGUUGGUGUGCAAGAAUGCUGGGAAAAGCAUUUGAUUCAUGGUAAAAGCAAAAUUUCAUUUACAAGCAUAUUUACAAAUCUAUUUCCAUCUCUUCUGUUUUUUCUCAACAGUUACUAUAGAUCAAAAUCUCGAAAAGAAUGAUGAAUGUGGAAUGUGAAGUCAUUGGAUACAUUUUUAUUCACUUUUUAUUUAGUGGAGGUUGUUAAGUUUCUUGAUUAGUAAAGGUGUCAAAUGUAGUGGGGAGAAUGGGGCUGAGAGGGAAAAUAAAUCAGCCAUGAUAGAAUGGCAGAGCAGACUUGAUGGACUGAAUGGCUUAACUCUGCUUCUUUUGUCUUAUGGUUUUACAUUGAAAGUCUCAUGCAAAGCUUCACCUGCUCUUGGGAACUGGGACAGGACAAGUGACAGAUGUCAGUGCAGGAGCACUUUGGGAUCAGUAGCCAUUGUUCUAUUAGUGUUAAAUUAAAGUUGGAAAGGUACAUAACUGGGUCACAAGUUAAAGUUCUAUAGCAACUGACAAAAGUAGAUUAGAAUAGGUUGUAUGCAGGUGUAACAUCCUGAAGAAAGAUUUCACUGCUGAUGUAAUGCUCUUGUAGAAGCUAUGUUUGGAUUAUGGUUAGAGAUAAUGGGUGCUUUGGAAUGUGAGCCAUCCAAUGACGGGAGUGUGUUUUUGUGCCGUGUGCCUGACACUGGGGUGAUCUGGGUCUUUUGUUUGGCGGGAGAUGAAGGGAGAAGAUACCAGAGAGAAGAGGUCGUAGGACUCGACCCAGAGCAGAGCCAUGAUCCAACGAAGGCUGGGGUGAUCAAAAGAGGAUCGGCGAAGGGGAAACUGUGAACUCCAACUUGUGCACAUUAGACUGUUUAAUUAAAAUUGGUACUUUUCUUAUUUUGCCUUUUCUUCACUAACCCUAUAGUCAAAUUAAGAAUUAUAAACUGAAUCAUUUAA